AGAGUUUGAUCCUGGCUCAGAAUCAACGCUGGCGGCGCGCCUAACACAUGCAAGUCGAACGAGAAAGCGGGAGCAAUCUCGCAAGUAAAGUGGCGUACGGGUGAGUAACACGUGGAUUAUCUGCCCUGGAGUGGGGAAUAACGCUGGGAAACCGGCGCUAAUACCGCAUAUUCCCGAGAGGGGAAAGCAGCAAUGCGCUCGAGGAGGAGUCCGCGGCCGAUUAGCUAGUUGGCAGGGUAAAAGCCUACCAAGGCUAUGAUCGGUAGCCGGCCUGAGAGGGCACACGGCCACACUGGCACUGAAACACGGGCCAGACUCCUACGGGAGGCAGCAGUGGGGAAUCUUGCACAAUGGGGGAAACCCUGAUGCAGCGACGCCGCGUGAGCGAUGAAGCCCUUCGGGGUGUAAAGCUCUUUCGGCAGGGAAGAUUAUGACGGUACCUGCAGAAGCAGCUGCGGCUAACUACGUGCCAGCAGCCGCGGUAAUACGUAGGCAGCAAGCGUUGUUCGGAGUUACUGGGCGUAAAGGGUGUGUAGGCGGCCUGUUAAGUUCCGUGUGAAAUCUCCCGGCUCAACCGGGAGGGUGCGCGGAAUACUGACGGGCUAGAGUGCGGGAUGGGAGAGUAGAAUUCCUGGUGUAGCGGUGAAAUGCGUAGAUAUCAGGAGGAAUACCAGUGGUGUAGACGGCUCUCUGGACCGCAACUGACGCUGAGACACGAAAGCGUGGGUAGCAAACAGGAUUAGAUACCCUAGUAGUCC
rnacentral:rRNA from 1 species